GUGAGUGAAGAAGGCCUUUCGGGUUGUAAAGCUCUUUUCGGUGGGAACGAUUGUGACGGUGCCCACAGAAGAAGCUCCGGCUAACUCCCUGCCAGCAGCCGCGGUAAUACGGAGGGGGCGAGCGUUGUUCGGAAUUACUGGGCGUAAAGGGCGCGUAGGCUGUUUGGCAAGUCGGGAGUGAAAUCCCGGGGCUUAACCUUGGAAUGUCUCUCGAAACUGCCUUACUGGAGUCCGGCAGAGGAUGGUGGAAUUCCCCGUGUAGAGGUGAAAUUCGUAUAUCUGGGGAGGAAGACCAGAGGCGAAGGCGGCCAUCUGGACCGGUACUGACGCUGAGGCGCGAAAGCGUGGGGAGCAAACAGGAUUAGAUACCCUGGUAGUCCACGCCGUAAACGAUGAGUGCUGGUUGUCGCGGGUAUCGACCCCUGCGGCAACGAAGUUAACGCGUUC
rnacentral:rRNA from 1 species